UGGCAGUGGACGGACGGUUAUUGUGGUGGUGACUGGUGGGUUCAAUAGAAAAUCUGGUGCUGGCGGGCUGAACUGUGGUGAAGUCUGGCGGAUGUGGUGCACGUAGAUAGUCAGGGGAACUUCCCCAUCAGCCUCAUCAGCCCUUCACUUUUAACGGCGUCAUUCGCAUGCGGAAAUAAUAAUUCUUCCAUAUCUGUUACUUUAGUAACGCUCACCAGUCUGCCAUUAUCAUGUAAUAAGUGUAAUGACGGCGAAGAAUGAAAGACAAAUGGAUGAGGUAGCAAUUAUAAUAUUAUUGAGCCUUACACCCAGGUAAAAAUACGAAAAUUAUGGUGCAGUUGUAGUUCCCGUACUCUUUCCUUCUUUCUCUCUGGCUAACUAGCUUGGAGAGUUGGAUGGGAGACGGGGAGGUUUGUUAUAUCUAAAACUUGGGAUGGGUUAUAACUAUGUAAUGUUCUAAACUUUAUUGUUGAGGGAUUAGUGGAUCGAGACAGUUUCAUUGCAUUCGAACAGCUUUUUCCCACCCACGAGAUGCCAAGAAUUCAGGCAACCAAGUAUGAGUGUCCACUGCAAGUUCAUCUAUUGUUUCUGGAGUUUGAGAAAAAGUUGAGGGAGGUGUCGACACUUAGGGUCGUCGGCAGAAGGGCAGUCUGACCUGGGGACAUUUGUGGUCCCCUCCUCAGAUGGGGACUCUGAGGCUGGUGUAGGAGUCGCCAUGAAUUUUGAAAUUUUGAGUGAAGGCAACCCCAGAGAUGGACAGCCUGCAUGGACUAGUGGCAGCAACAGCAGUAGCAUCUACCAGCCACAGGAGCAGGCAACUGAUGGUGGUAUACUCAGCGGCUGAUUUCAUGGCCGGUGCCCCUCCACUGCUCCACUAA